rnacentral:rRNA from 1 species
GACGAACGCUGGCGGCGCGCCUAACACAUGCAAGUCGAACGGAGUUAUUUGAAAGCUUGCUUUUGGAUAACUGAGUGGCGGACGGGUGAGUAACGCGUGAGUAACCUGCCUUAAAGAGGGGGAUAACGUCUGGAAACGGACGCUAAUACCGCAUAAGAUUGUAGUUUCGCAAGGGACAGCAAUCAAAGGAGCAAUCCGCUGAAAGAUGGACUCGCGUCCGAUUAGAUAGUUGGCGGGGUAACGGCCCACCAAGUCGACGAUCGGUAGCCGGACUGAGAGGUUGAUCGGCCACAUUGGGACUGAGACACGGCCCAG